rnacentral:tRNA from 3 species
GGGCCUGUAGCUUAGUCGGUUAGAGCGCCCGGCUCAUAACCGGGAGGUCAGGGGUUCAACUCCCUUCGGGCCCACCA